rnacentral:tRNA from 1 species
GCCUUGUAGCUCAGCGGUAGAGCGGCGGAAUCUAAUCCGCAGGUCAUUGGUUCGACUCCAAUCAUGGCUCCA